GGAAGUAGAAGUCGUAACAAGGUUUCCGUAGGUGAACCUGCGGAAGGAUCAUUACCGAGUGAGGGCCCUCUGGGUCCAACCUCCCACCCGUGUUUAUUUACCUUGUUGCUUCGGCGGGCCCGCCUCACGGCCGCCGGGGGGCAUUCGCCCCCGGGCCCGCGCCCGCCGAAGACACCAUUGAACUCUGUCUGAAGAUUGCAGUCUGAGCGAUUAACUAAAUCAGUUAAAACUUUCAACAACGGAUCUCUUGGUUCCG
rnacentral:misc_RNA from 1 species